rnacentral:misc_RNA from 1 species
GAUGAAGAACGUAGCGAAAUGCGAUAAGUAAUGUGAAUUGCAGAAUUCAGUGAAUCAUCGAAUCUUUGAACGCACAUUGCGCCCGCCAGCAUUCUGGCGGGCAUGCCUGUCCGAGCGUCAUUUCAACCCUCGGGCCCCCCUCUGCGGGCGGCCCGGCGUUGGGGCUCAGGCGCCGUCUCUGCUCGGCGCCUGUCCCCUAAAUGCAGUGGCGGCCUCGCCGCUGCCUCCUCCGCGUAGUAGCACAAACCUCGCGGCUGGAAGGCGGCGCGGCCACGCCGUAAAACCCCCCAACUUUACCAAGGUUGACCUCGGAUCAGGUAGGAAUACCCGCUGAACUUAAGCAUAUCAAUAAGCGGAGGA